rnacentral:rRNA from 1 species
UACGAAGGGUGCAAACGUUGCUCGGAAUUAUUGGGCGUAAAGAGCGCGCAGGCGGCUUGGCAAGUCGGGUGUGAAAUCCCGGGGCUCAACCCCGUGACUGCAUUCGAUACUGUCAGGCUAGAGGUAGGUAGGGGAGAUCGGAAUUCCUGGUGUAGCGGUGAAAUGCGCAGAUAUCAGGAGGAACACCGGUGGCGAAGGCGGAUCUCUGGGCCUUACCUGACGCUCAGGCGCGAAAGCUAGGGGAGCGAACAGG